GGCAGGGGCGGCUGCUCCGUGGGCAGCCGGGUGCGUUGGUUGCCCCCUGCCCUAGGGAGCUCUGAGGCGGGGUUGAGGCGGCUGGGCGCCCGCCUGGGGCCGUGACAGGAGCGUUGGGUGGGCCCCGGGACCUCCUGACACCCGCUGCUGGUCCGGACGGAACCGAUGAGCAAGGCGAAAAGAAGCGAGAAGGAGGCGAAGCGGGCCCCGUUGCAGGCGGCUGCGGUGGGGAAGAGGCGUUAUCUGCACCCGCCAGCCCCCAGGAGUACGGACGUUGCGGGUGAAAACAUAAGCUCGCCUUGAAGGCAGCUGCGAAAACGGUUUACGUUUUAGGACAACGCAAAAGGGAAAGUUCUCCUCAAGUGGUCACUCGGCUUGGAACGGGGAGAGAUGAGAGCUGUGCAGCCACAGAAACUAACCCUGGCUAGCAGGGACUUAUACAUGUUAAUGAAGGAAACUCUGCCGGAAAGGAAUAUGUAAAAGGAUGCCAAACUCUUUAUCCUGUGAAGAGUGAUGCAGACAAAGUGCCAGCUAUUCAGCAGUGACUCUGCAAUUAAAGGGCUAUGAAUACACGACUUUCAGGUCCUGGAAGGAAGCCCUUCUGCAUGAUUACAGUUCUGAUAUCACAUUGCAUGUAACUUGACUCUCAGAGAAUUUUGGUUUCUAUAUCAUGGAACACUAGGAUCCCUGAACACUAGGAUCCCUGAAUAUUGCUCUUCAGUUAGCCAUGGGAGUCACUAAAGAGUAAGGUCUGAAGAACUCCCUCUCCUAAAAAACAAUCAAGAGUUGAAUGCUUUGGAUCCAGUGUUCCUAAAUCUUGCUGAUCAGUUAGGACUGACCUAGAAUCUCAAGGCCAAAUUGAAGAGAGUGGAGUAUGCUAUCUUGCAGAAUGAGUAGAAACCUCAGGCCAAGGAACCAAAAUAUUUCCUGUUUUUCCAGGAUCAUCAUGCAGAGCUUUGUCAUCUUGAAGCACUGCCUGAUCAAGGUGGUUUAGGUACCCUUCUUACAACAUUCAUGCAGGAGCUUCAGCCCUGAUUCAGUGAUGGACAAGUACAUUUUUAAGUGCUUUUCUGAACCAGUGCCUUAUUUUCCAAUGUCUUAUCUAGUAUUGUAACAGACAUUAGAUUUCCUGGCUCCUCAUAUUUUUAGCAGCUCCAUAAGCAAAGUUUCCUCUUGCUUUUUAUUAACAGGUGACCUGAGGUAUGAUAUCUUGGUCAACAGGAGAGAGUUGAAACCUCAGUUAAGUCUCUAAACCUGGCUGGAAAAAUCCAUCACGCAGACGCCAUAGCACGGCAAGCAUGGAGCCCGCUCAAAUCACCGCGGCAAUUAUGAGCACUGUAAACACCAUGUGCAGUAUAUGCAGAACCAGAACCAGGCGAGGAGGCGACGGCAGCACAGUGACAAGAGUGAUGAGGAUAUGGACACAGACUUCUCCCAAAGUACAGGGCCCUACAAUGUGGAUAUCAUGGUGUUAAUGGGGCAGGUUCAUGCCCUGGAACGCCAAUUUUGGGCCUGGGAAACAAGCACAGACUGGUGGGAUCGCAUACUGUUGCAUGUCUGAGACAAUUUCCAGUGGCUGCGAAACUUUCGCAUGCGUAAGGGCACUUUCAUGGAACUUUGUGACUUGCUUUCCCCUGCCCUGAAGUGCAAGAAUACCAAGAUGAGAGCAGCCCACACAGUUGAGAAGCGAGUGGCGAAAGCCCUGUGGAGGCUUGCAACGCCAGACAGCUACCGGUCAGUUGGGCAUCAAUUUGGAGUGGGCAAAUCUACUGUGGGGACUGCUGUGAUCCAAACAGCCAACGCAAUCAAAGAGCUGCUGCUAUCAAGGGUAGUGACCCUGGGAAAUGUGCAGGUCAUCGUGGAUGGCUUUGCUGCAAUGGGAUUCCCUAACUGUGGUGGGGCGAUAGACAGAACCCAUAUCCCUAUCUUGGCACCGGAGAACCGAGUACAUAAACCGAAAGGGGUAAUUUACAAUGGUGCUGCAAGCACUGGUGGAUCACAAGGGACGUUUCACCAACAUUAGUGUGGGAUGGCUGGGAAAGGUACAUGACGCUUGCAUCUUCAGGACUCUGGUCUGUUUCAAAAGCUGCAGCAAGGGACUUUCUUCCCAGACCAGAAAAUAACUGUUGAGGAUGUUGACAUGCCUAUAGUUAUCUUUGGGGACCCAGCCUACCCCUUAAUGCCAUGGCUCCUGAAGCCAGACACAGGCAGCCUGGAUAGUAGUCAGGAGCUGUUCAACUAUAGGCUGAGUAAGUGCAGAAUGGUGGUAGAAUGUGCAUUUUGACGUUUAAAAGCUCGCUGGCGCAGUUUACUGACUCGGAUAGACUU